GACGAACGCUGGCGGCGUGCUUAACACAUGCAAGUCGAACGGUGAAGCGCCUUCCUUUUUGGUGGGUGUGGAUGAGUGGCGAACGGGUGAGUAACACGUGAGUAACCUGCCCCCUUCUUCUGGAUAACCGCAUGAAAGUGUGGCUAAUACGGGAUAUUCUGGGUCUGUCGCAUGAUGGGUCUGGGAAAGAUAUUGUUUCGGUGGGGGAUGGGCUCGCGGCCUAUCAGCUUGUUGGUGGGGUGAUGGCCUACCAAGGCGGUGACGGGUAGCCGGCCUGAGAGGGUGGCCGGUCACACUGGGACUGAGACACGGCCCAGACUCCGACGGGAGGCAGCAGUGGGGAAUAUUGCACAAUGGGCGCAAGCCUGAUGCAGCGACGCCGCGUGAGGGAUGGAGGCCUUCGGGUUGUGAACCUCUUUCGCGAGUGAAGCAUGCCUGCCUCGUUUGUGGGUGGGUUGACGGUAGCUGGAUAAGAAGCGCCGGCUAACUACGUG
rnacentral:rRNA from 1 species